UGUGUGGGUGCGGGUGUGUGUGUGUGUGUGUGUGUAAGUGUGUGUCGCUUGGGUCCAUGCUCAUGCACACUCCCACACGCCUGCACUC
rnacentral:pre_miRNA from 1 species